rnacentral:rRNA from 1 species
AUCUUGAACUGGACUCUCCCGGCGCAAGACGCGGCCCGACCGUGUGCACUUUCCGCGGGCAGAGCGCCACGACCGGUUCUCGGGCGGUCAGAAGGCGGCUGGGGAUGGUAGGUGCGCGCUUCGGCGUGCACUGGUAUAGCCCCGCCUGUCCCGAUCCGCUCGGGGACCGAGGAGCCGCCGUCGGCAAGUUGGCCGCCUCGCCCUCCUGGGAUGCUUCGACUGGCAGAGACUGGGCAACCGUGUCUGCCGACCGCUUCCUUGGACGGUCUUAGGGGUGGGGCCCGCCGGCACAGGGUCGGUGGCGAAUCGGUCGGCCCUCCACCCGACCCGUCUUGAAACACGGACCAAGGAGUCUAACAUGCGCGCGAGUCGUUGGGUCGUACGAAACCCGAAGGCGAAGUGAAAGCGAGGGCCGGUCUCUGACCGUGCUCAGGUGGGAUCCUGCCCCCCUUUCCAAAGCGGGGUGGGCGCACCACCGGCCCGUCUCGUCCGCGUUGUCGGUGAGGCGGAGCAUGAGCGUGCACGUUGGGACCCGAAAGAUGGUGAACUAUGCCUGAGUAGGACGAAGCCAGAGGAAACUCUGGUGGAGGUCCGCAGCGAUUCUGACGUGCAAAUCGAUCGUCAAACUUGGGUAUAGGGGCGAAAGACUAAUCGAACC